GAUGAACGCUAGCGACAGGCCUAACACAUGCAAGUCGAGGGGCAGCAUGAAAUUAGCUUGCUAAUUUUGAUGGCGACCGGCGCACGGGUGAGUAACACGUAUGCAACCUGCCUGUAAACGGGGGAUAACCCGGAGAAAUUCGGACUAAUACCGCAUAAUAUCAUUGAUUCGCAUGUUUCAAUGAUUAAAAAUUUAUUGCUUACAGAUGGGCAUGCGUAUGAUUAGCUAGUUGGCGGGGUAACGGCCCACCAAGGCGACGAUCAUUAGGGGUUCUGAGAGGAAGGUCCCCCACAUUGGAACUGAGACACGGUCCAAACUCCUACGGGAGGCAGCAGUGAGGAAUAUUGGUCAAUGGACGAGAGUCUGAACCAGCCAUGUCGCGUGAAGGAUGACUGUCCUAUGGAUUGUAAACUUCUUUUAUAUGGGGAUAAAGUGUGAGACUUGUCUCAUUUUGCAUGUACCAUAUGAAUAAGCAUCGGCUAACUCCGUGCCAGCCGCCGCCGUAACAC
rnacentral:rRNA from 1 species